GCCUUAGAUAACUUGUGAUCAGCACUGUCUUUAGGUGACAUCCACCUGAUAUGAAGUCAAUCGGGCGAUAUCCCUCGGAGGAGUUCAUCCGCACUGACUCCCAACCUAUGAGAUUUAAGGAAUUGAAGCUUUCAACUUAUUAGGCAGUAAACACUAAUAGUCUAUUCGCUGUAUGACUCAAACUCGGAUCUAUGCAACAUUAUCACAAGGCAUUUUAGGAACCUGUAGAUGAAGAUGACAACAGGUGCGGAAAAAUCACAUCCCUGUGAUUUAACCUCCUCGUCUGUAAUCUGCUCCAGAUCUCCCCUAUGAUUAUUUGGAAAGCAAAACCUUGUGACGCUGAAGUCCACAAUAUCUUCACCAGCAUCACCACUGUGAUCGCAGCUGUCAGCUUCUGGUCACUUAUUGCUCUGGAAAGGUGUUUUGCCAUCACCUUCCCACAGUGGCAGUGCAUCAGACAAACUAAAGUUUCUGUGCUGCUCUGUGUUGGUGCCUGGGUCCUUUGUGCUGUUGUCUCUUCUCCAAUGUUCUUUUUAUCAGAUCUUCUCUUCUACCUCCUCCCUGUAUUCUUACUGCUCACUGUCCCCGUGUUCAUCUUCUGUCUAGCUAGGACCAUCAAAGCCCUGCCUGCUGCCACCGUGAUGCCAGCUGAGGAAAAACGAAGAACUUUGGCCAUUUUGGUUCUGCUGCUGCUUCAACAUACUCUGCUGUUUUGUCCCUUAAUCAUUUGGGUUAUUAUAGGCAUAUUCUCACAUGUUUCAGCUCCUUUCUACGUGUCAAUGUUUAUUGUAUCCUGUUUUCUGCUCUGUCCUUUUGUGGACUUGAUUCUGAUUGUUUUCAUGCCAAAGGGCCCAAUCAACAAGCUGCUGGCUCCUCUGUGCUGCUGCAAGAUGGACAACAGUGAAGAAGCAGAUGCAGCAGAGACGACUGUAUGAGGUAGUGAUGCAUUGUUGAUGCCUCAGGGGUGUGUGAAAAGUGAAAUUGAAACUUUGUAAAAGUUUUUUUAAAAAUGUAAGUGCUUGUCAACAUUUGGAUGCUUGUGAACUUACAAGGCAGGGUUUAUGCAUUUUUAUUUAGAAACAGGUUUUUUGCAGUCACUGCAUCAGAAGAGGAAAAGAUCCACUCUACCUGCAACACAUAGAAGAACAUUACUACUGUAACAUACACUGUAGUAAUUCAGUUCAUGUAGGCUUUAAUGAAUGUUCCUCAUUUGUUGUAAUGAAGGAAACUUUAUUCUUUGUUUUUUAUAUGUUUUCCUACAAAAUUAAUAAAUUCUGUAAACCUGACUAAAGCA
ensembl:lncRNA